AGGACGAACGCUGGCGGCGUGCUUAACACAUGCAAGUCACGGGGGCCCGCAAGGGCAACCGGCGAACGGGUGCGUAACACGUGAGCAAUCUGCCGAUUUCUGGGGGAUAGCCGGCCCAACGGCCGGGUAAUACCGCAUACGCUCGUUGAGAGGAGUCUCUCGGCGAGGAAACCUCCGGGGGAAAUCGAGGAGCUCGCGGCCUAUCAGCUAGUUGGCGGGUAACGGCCCACCAAGGCGAUGACGGGUAGCUGGU
rnacentral:rRNA from 1 species